AAGACUAUAGACCUGCGGAGUACCUGCGGAAGGAUCAUUAACGUAUCUAUGAUGGGGUGCGGAGCGCCCUGCUCCGGUCGAACGGCCGUGCAGCGGGUGCGCCGCCCCCGUCCCACCUCACAAACCCACUGUGAACAUUCACCGGUGGAGGGGGCUCGGUCUGCGCCGUGUCCCCGAUGCCGAAUACCCGAACUCCAGUUGCAAAGAACGUCGUGCGGACUCGGUGCCGCCUAAAACAUG
rnacentral:misc_RNA from 1 species